GAUGUAGAACGCAGCGAAAUGCGAUACUUGGUGUGAAUUGCAGAAUCCCGUGAACCAUCGAGUCUUUGAACGCAAGUUGCGCCCGAAGCCAUUAGGCCGAGGGCACGCCUGCCUGGGCGUCACACGUCGUUGCCCCCCCAUCUACUCCUUCGGGAUUGCGGGGGGCGGAUGAUGGCCUCCCGUGCGCCUCGCCGCGCGGUUGGCAUAAAUGCCAAGUCCUCGGCGACGCACGCCACGACAAUCGGUGGUUGCGAAACCUCGGUUGCCCGUCGUGUGCGGUCGUCGCGCAUCGAGGGCUCGAAAAAAUUGCCGGGUUCCGGCUCGGCUUUCAACGCGACCCCAGGUCAGGCGGGGUUACCCGCUGAAUUUAAGCAUAUCAAUAAGCGGAGGA
rnacentral:misc_RNA from 1 species